rnacentral:siRNA from 1 species
GAUAUAUUCAACGACAAAA